AUUGAACGCUGGCGGCAGGCCUAACACAUGCAAGUCGAACGAGUGGCGGACGGGAGAGUAAUGCUUGGGAAUCUGACUUAUGGAGGGGGAUAACGAAGGGAAACUGUCGCUAAUACCGCGUACAAGAGGAUGAGCCCAAGUGGGUUUAGGUAGUUGGUGGGGGAAAGGCCUACCAAGCCGACGAUCUCUACCUGGUCUGAGAGGAGUACCAGCCACACCGGAACUGAGACACGGUCCGGACUCCUACGGGAGGCAGCAGUGGGGAAUAUUGGGCAAUGGGGGAAAGCUGACGCAGCCAUGCCGCGUGAAUGAAGAAGGCCUUCGGGUUGUAAAGUUCUUUCAGUGACGAGGCGUUAAUCACAGAAGAAGCACCGGCUAACUCCGUGCCAGCAGCCGCGGUAAUUC
rnacentral:rRNA from 1 species